UCGAGAAUUUUUCUCAAUGGGGGAAACCCUGAAGGAGCGACGCCGCGUGGAGGAUGAAGGUCUUCGGAUUGUAAACUCCUGUCAUUUGGGAACAAUUGCCACAUGUUAACUGCGUGGGGCUUGAUAGUACCAGAAGAGGAAGAGACGGCUAACUCUGUGCCAGCAGCCGCGGUAAUACAGAGGUCUCAAGCGUUGUUCGGAUUCAUUGGGCGUAAAGGGUGCGUAGGUGGCGGGGUAAGUCAGGUGUGAAAUCUCGGAGCUCAACUCCGAAACUGCACUUGAUACUGCCUUGCUGGAGUACUGGAGAGGAGAUUGGAAUUUACGGUGUAGCAGUGAAAUGCGUAGAUAUCGUAAGGAAGACCAGUGGCGAAGGCGAAUCUCUGGACAGUUACUGACACUGAGGCACGAAGGCCAGGGGAGCAAACGGGAUUAGAUACCCCCGUAGUCC
rnacentral:rRNA from 1 species